UACAUAGGCAGCGAGCGUUGUUCGGAGUUACUGGGCGUAAAGAGUGCGUAGGCGGUUUUCUAAGUUUGGUGUGAAAUCUCCCGGCUUAACUGGGAGGGUGCGCCGAAGACUGGAAGGCUUGAGUAUGGGAGAGGUAAGCGGAAUUCCUGGUGUAGCGGUGAAAUGCGUAGAUAUCAGGAGGAACACCUGCGGUGUAGACGGCUUACUGGACCAUAACUGACGCUGAGGCACGAAAGCGUGGGUAGCAAACAGG
rnacentral:rRNA from 1 species